rnacentral:rRNA from 1 species
ACGGGAGGCAGCAGUGGGGAAUAUUGCACAAUGGGGGAAACCCUGAUGCAGCGACGCCGCGUGAGUGAAGAAGUUAUUCGUAAUGUAAAGCUCUAUCAGCAGGGAAGAAAAUGACGGUACCUGACUAAGAAGCCCCGGCUAACUACGUGCCAGCAGCCGCGGUAAUACGUAGGGGGCAAGCGUUAUCCGGAAUUAUUGGGUGUAAAGGGUGCGUAGACGGAGAUACAAGUUAGUUGUGAAAUCCCUCGGCUCAACUGAGGAACUGCAACUAAAACUAUAUCCCUUGAGUGUCGGAGGGGAAAGUGGAAUUCCUAGUGUAGCGGUGAAAUGCGUAGAUAUUAGGAGGAACACCGGUGGCGAAGGCGACUUUCUGGACGAUAACUGACGUUGAUGCACGAAAGUGUGGGGAGCAAACAGGAUUAGAUACCCUGGUA